rnacentral:rRNA from 1 species
CCAAAGCUCCGAUUUUGUGACGAGCGCAUCUAUUAGAUUAAAACCAAUCGGGUUUCGGCCCGUAAAUUGGUGACUCUGAAUAACUGUAGCUGAUCGUAUGGUCCAGAACCGGCGACGUGUCUAUCAAGUGUCUGCCUUAUCAACUGUCGAUGGUAGUCUAUGUGCCUACCAUGGUUGUAACGGGUAACGGAGAAUAAGGGUUCGACUCCGGAGAGGGAGCCUGAGAAACGGCUACCACAUCCAAGGAAGGCAGCAGGCGCGCAAAUUACCCACUCUCGGCAUGAGGAGGUAGUGACGAAAAAUAACGAGACCGUUCUCUAUGAGGCCGGUUAUCGGAAUGGGUACAAUUUAAACCCGUUAACGAGGAUCUAUGAGAGGGCAAGUCUGGUGCCAGCAGCCGCGGUAAUUCCAGCUCUCAAAGUGUAUAUCGUCAUUGCUGCGGUUAAAAAGCUCGUAGUUGGAUCUGCGCCUCAGGACUUGGUCCGCCCACUGGGCGAGAACUGGGCUCCUGGGCUAGUUCUGCUGGUUUUCCCUACGUUGCCUUCAUCGGUCGCGUAGGGUGGCUAGCGAGUUUACUUUGAAAAAAUUAGAGUGCUUCACGCGGGCUUAUGUCUGAAUACUCGUGCAUGGAAUAAUGGAAUAGGAUCUCGGUUCUAUUUUGUUGGUUUUCUGAUCUGAGAUAAUGGUUAAGAGGGACGGACGGGGGCAUUCGUAUCGCUGCGUGAGAGGUGAAAUUCUUGGACCGUAGCGAGACGUCCGACUGCGAAAGCAUUUGCCAAGAAUGUCUUCAUUAAUCAAGAACGAAAGUCAGAGGUUCGAAGGCGAUCAGAUACCGCCCUAGUUCUGACCGUAAACGAUACCAACUAGCGUUCCGUCGGCGGUAAAUACGCCUUGACGGGCAGCUUCCCGGAAACGAAAGUCUUUCGGUUCCGGGGGAAGUAUGGUUGCAAAGCUGAAACUUAAAGAAAUUGACGGAAGGGCACCACCAGGAGUGGAGCCUGCGGCUUAAUUUGACUCAACACGGGAAAACUCACCUGGCCCGGACACCGUGAGGAUUGACAGAUUGAGAGCUCUUUCUUGAUUCGGUGGUUGGUGGUGCAUGGCCGUUCUUAGUUGGUGGAGUGAUUUGUCUGGUUUAUUCCGAUAACGAGCGAGACUCUAGCCUACUAAAUAGUCAUCGGAUAAACACAAGUCCGGAAGACUUCUUAGAGGGACAAGCGGUGUUCAGCCGCAUGAAGUUGAGCAAUAACAGGUCUGUGAUGCCCUUAGAUGUCCAGGGCUGCACGCGCGCUACACUGGAGGAAUCAGCGUGCUGUAACCAUUGCCGAAAGGUAUUGGUAACCCGUUGAAA